rnacentral:rRNA from 1 species
GAGUUUGAUCGUGGCUCAGGAUGAACGCUGACAGAAUGCUUAACACAUGCAAGUCUACUUGAUCCUUCGGGUGAUGGUGGCGGACGGGUGAGUAACGCGUAAAGAACUUGCCCUGCAGUCUGGGACAACAUUUGGAAACGAAUGCUAAUACCGGAUAUUAUGUGAGUUUCGCAUGAAAUUCAUAUGAAAGCUAUAUGCGCUGCAGGAGAGCUUUGCGUCCUAUUAGCUAGUUGGUGAGGUAACGGCUCACCAAGGCGAUGAUAGGUAGCCGGCCUGAGAGGGUGAACGGCCACAAGGGGACUGAGACACGGCCCUUACUCCUACGGGAGGCAGCAGUGGGGAAUAUUGGACAAUGGACCAAAAGUCUGAUCCAGCAAUUCUGUGUGCACGAUG